AUUUGUUGGCAUUUGAGAUACUGUCUAAGAUAUGCUGAUUGUGAAAAAUUGUUUUCAUCAUGCAGAAAAUGACACUCUGCUCUCUAUCUUCUACCAUACACAAGCUCUGCACCAAAUGUGCCAUAGACCUGAUACCCUGAAAAUGCCAAAAGACACAGUAGAGAAAAUACUCCCACUGCUAAGCACAGCAGCAGAAUCUGGAAGAAGAGAAGUUACACAGUUGCCCAGCAGAGAUGCCCCUUUGCUGUCUCAGCCUGGAUGCCUUUGGCAACAGUUGCAGUAGGAACAGCCCACCUGGAAGUCUUCCUGUCAGCAUCAUUGGAACCUGGGCACCCACAAUUUCCUGCUCUUCACCAAAUUCUUGAUAGCCAAACCACAAGAAAACCCUCUAAGGCAGAAAGCCAUGAGUCGAUCAUGAAAAGUACCAGGAAGGGCCAAUGAGAUGGGUAGCUGUGUGGAAGGAAAGAGCUGAUUCCUCCUAAUUUGUUCAUUGACCUCCAUAUGAACAGAAUGACAAAAUGGCAUGGCAUGUAUUGUAUGUUCAUUCUCUCUCUGUUGUACAGAUGUAUUUAUUUCCUCAUCACCAAAUAAGUAGAUAGAUAGAUGUUAUUAUUUUAAAUACCAAUCAGAAUUCUAUACACUUAUCAUAUGAUAUAAUUAAUUUUUUAAUAUAACAAAAAAAAUCUCAUACAGCUCACAACUGUUUGUAACUCCAGGACCAGAGGAGUUGACAGUCUCACACAGGCAUACAUAAAGGCAAAACACCAAUGAACAUAAAAUAGUGAAUAAACAAUUAAAUAUUUGUAGGAGCUAGUGUGGUCAGGAGCCCCACAAUCAUCCCACAGAACUAACUAACCUAGGCUCAUAGUGACUCAGAGACUGAACGACCAACCAGGGAGCAUGCAGGGGACUGACCUAUGUCCUCUCCAUGUAUUUUACAAUUGUAUAACUUGAUCUUCUUGUGAGACUCCUAACGGUGGGAGCAGGGCUUGUCUCUAAUGCCUGCUUUUGGGACCCAUUCCUCCUACUGAAUUCCUGUGUCCAGCCUUAAUGUAAGAACUCAUGCCUUGAUAUAACAUGGCAGGCACUUAUGCACAGGAUGUCUGCCCAUUUCUGAAGAGAAAAAAAAAGGAGGAACGGAUGGGGAGCAGGAAGAGUAAAGGUUGGGAGAAGGACUGAGAGGAGAGGAUGGAGGGGAAAUUUUGGUUAGGAUGUAAAAACAAAAAUAAAGAAAUAAAUAAAACCAAAUUUAUUCCAAAAGAGGGAGAAUAUUGAUGGUCAUCAUAUUUAAAUUUGGGAUACUAAAAGAAUGUCCCUCCAGAGAUAUUGCCACUUAUUCUAACUUUAUAAUGUGUUUGCAGUUGUACAGAGAUUGCUGGGGAUGUCUUUCUGUAUGCUGUGAAUGUGUUCCUCUGAGUGAUUGAUUAAAAAAAACCAAAACAGCUGGUUGGACAGUA